GUCCUAGCUGUAAACGAUGGGCACUGGGUAGAGGAGGCGUCGAUACCUUCUCUGCCGAAGCAAAUGUGUUAAGUGCCCCGCCUGGGGAGUACGGUCGCAAGGCUAAAACUCAAAGGAAUUGACGGGGGCUCACACAAGCGGUGGAGCAUGUGGUUCAAUUCGAAGCAACGCGAAGAACCUUACCCGGGUUUGAAAUCCACGGAUGGGUCAGAUGAAAGUUGGAUACCCUGCCCGCAAGGGUGAAACGUGGACAGGUGUUGCAUGGCUGUCGU
rnacentral:rRNA from 1 species